GCUUUUCACCUAUGAUGAUGUUGUGGAGAGAGUUGCUCGGCAACUUGGCUUGGAUGAUCCAACAAAAAUUAGGCUUACUUCUCACAACUGUUACUCUCAACAGCCUAAGCCCCAACCCAUUAAGUUCUGGGGUGUAGAACAUCUGUCUGACAUGCUGGUCCACUACAACCAACUUCUGACAUCCUGUAUUAUGAAGUGUUGGACAUUCCUUUGCCAGAAUUGCAAGGCUUGAAAACUCUGAAAGUUGCUUUCCAUCACUCCACUAAAGAUGAGGUGGUUAUUCACACUACUAGAUUGCCCAAACAGAGUACUGUAGGGGAUGUAAUCAAC